rnacentral:rRNA from 1 species
UACGGAGGAUGCGAGCGUUAUCCGGAUUUAUUGGGUUUAAAGGGUGCGUAGGCGGAAUAUCAAGUCAGCGGUAAAAAUUCGGGGCUCAACCUCGUCGUGCCGUUGAAACUGACACCCUUGAGUGAGUGAGAAGUAAGCGGAAUGCGCGGUGUAGCGGUGAAAUGCAUAGAUAUCACGCAGAACGCCGAUUGCGAAGGCAGCGUACCGGCGCCAGACUGACGCUGAGGCACGAAAGCGUGGGGAUCGAACAGG